rnacentral:lncRNA from 1 species
CUGUUGCAGAUGUUUUUGUUUUUAUGAUAUUACUUCUAAGCGACUAACCAAGGAGGCUAGUAGCUGAGCUCGCACUGGCAGGAAAAAUAUUAGAGGCUGGGAACAAAAGAACAGCACGUAUCUGAGAAACGCCACGUAGAACCUUGCUAAGGCUAUUUAUAUCACACCAUGUCACAAAAAUGUACAUCUUAACUAGCUAGUAACAGCUGCCGGACAAACAAAAACAAGGUUAGCACUUCGGCGGGGAGGAAGAACACAAGAGCCCAUCAAAUUAGCGAUUAUGGAGGGGGUCGGAGGCGCGGGGAACUCUCCGCUCGCUAUUGCGGAGAAGAGCCCCAGCAGAGUACGUAGGUUGCCGCCUAGGGCCAAGAUCAAACACCCGUUCGAGUCCCUGCUCGCGGCCCACGGCCACCACCUUCUCUCCCCCAUUCUCUCCCGAAGCUGAGACCAAUAAAAAAAGGAGGACGAGGAGAAGCUUUAGCUUCCAUAAUCCCAUCUCGUAGAAGCUUUGGGAGGAUGAAUGGCUUACCGUCUCUUUGGGCCAACUUAGCGGCGGGG